rnacentral:rRNA from 1 species
AGGCGAGACCGCGAGGUGGAGCAAAUCUCAAAAAGCCGUCCCAGUUCGGAUCGCAGGCUGCAACCCGCCUGCGUGAAGUUGGAAUCGCUAGUAAUCGCGGAUCAGCAUGCCGCGGUGAAUACGUUCCCGGGCCUUGUACACACCGCCCGUCACACCAUGGGAGCCGGUAAUACCCGAAGUCAGUAGCCUAACCGCAAGGGGGGCGCUGCCGAAGGUAGGAUUGGCGACUGGGGUGAAGUCGUAACAAGGUAGC